rnacentral:lncRNA from 1 species
GUAGAGGGGUAACAAUAAGAUUAACCGUUAGCCGUAAAAUGGCAUAAAAAGAGGAAAAAAUAGCCGUGAGGCGUAAAAUUGACAACUCUUGGCCGCUAGUCGUUAAAAAUGUAAACUGUAAAAAUUAAUAUUUUAAAAUAACAGAAAGGAAUUAACUGUUAGCCGUAAAAUGGCAAAAAUUUUAACCGUUGGUCGUAAAAACCAUCACCUCAGGAGGAGGUUCUGAUAUACAUUUCAUCUCGGAAUAGUUGGAGGAACACUCGAACCAAAACUCAUAACGAAGAAAAUAAAGCGCUCAACAAAUCUUAUACUUUCUGUUUGUUUCUGCCAAUUGUUUGUUUGUUUUUCGUUUACAUUUUUGCAUGAAAUUAAAGCAAAAACAUUGGUCUUUACUAGUUCUUGAUUCCACGAUGAAGAACGUCAGCCAAUUUCCAAUUUCAUCCAGAUUUUUAUUUCAUCCUUCAAUCCUGACCCUCAGAACUUCACUAUCUAAUUGUGUUAAUUUUGACCCGAAAAAUAAACAAAUAGAUAGCAGUACAUAAAGAUAAAUCAAUGUCAAAUUCUGGCCUUAAGAAGCUUCAUGACCUCAACCUAAAGCUACCAGCUUGUGGUUCAAUACCUUGAGUUAUCCGCAUUCAGGACAGAUUAUCUGAUAAUUAGGCUAACUUGCGUUGGUGUGGGACGGACGGCUUAAUAAAAGUAGGAUUACGUGUGAGAAGCCAGCCCCCACUCAAAAUUUUCAUUCAGUUAUGUAACAAGUUUAGCUCACAACCUAAGAUAGGUCUAGAAUUUGUAGCCGUUACGUCACGGUCUAGUUUUAUCUUUUGGCUUUCUUCGUUUUUGUUUUUUUCAAUUUUGCAAUCAACGCCAUUUUCAUAUUUUCCGUCAAUAUUGGCUAUCUCCUUUCCAAUUUCGCUCAUCCUUUCCUCCUAAAUGUUCAUCGACUUUGGCAAACCUACAAUAGUUGAUUAUUUAAGUUUCCAUUUCAACUAAAAACAAGUUUCAGCAACCUAAAAAGCCCUGAAAUUAAAACAUCUUGACGCACGAAAUCUUUUAACGUGAACUUCAUGCGAAGUGCCAUGAAAGGUACUUUGAAUGUAAUGUUUGGUUGCUUUCCUGAUAUCAUCUGUCAUUUUUCCGCUUUGAAGAUUUACAUCACCGCUCAGUCGUAAAAGAAAAAUCUAAAACGAACUGGAGGAUGGCAAAGAAACAAGUCCCAGGAAAGGAACAACAACACAGAAAGAUCUUGCUUUGUUCAUGGGAUGGAGGGACGACGUUGUCCUGAUUCUGUACGUGCCGAAGCAAAGGAUGUAUAUGUGCUAGCAACUUCCGUCUAAUAGAAGUGGCAACAAGAUCAUCUGAUAUUACAUAACCUGUACACGAAAACCGCCAAAUGAGGAAAUUUUUGCUGUCAACAGACGGAGUCAGGUGAUAAAUUAAUGAAGGGAGUUGUGCUGGGUUUUGGCUGUCAGCCAUCAAGUUAUGUUAGGUUCACAUUGACUGAGAAUUUAAAAUCAGUCGACACGAUGCUAUUUUAGGACGCUCUUCUCGUGUGUGGUCUGUAAUCGAGAUUUGGCUAUUUUUCCAAAGUGGAGAUUUGGAGAUGUUGUUCAGAAUAUAACAAUAUCUCUAGUGAAUGACUAAGCAGCUGUGAUUAAACGAGAUGUCCAAGUUGUGGUCAACAUGUUUCUACCCAUUUGUUACCUGCAUGCAGGGUGUAUAAACCGGUAAACUGCAAGCUUGAAACAUAUCGAACCUUCGGCUUCUCAGUCUAUCGUAAUGGCUCUGCGUGUGACUUACCGUGAGUAAAAUUUGAAGUUAAGAAGUUUGAGAUUUUAUGUCAAGUGAUUUUGCUUAUAAAAGGAUACAAUGUCAAAAUUUGAAGAUUUGGCGGUUCAUGUUUACUUGACAUUAUGAUAUCGUUGUGAGAAACUCAAAAUCUUUAAUAUUCAAGAUUCGGCCGCAUACCGUAGAAAUUAUAGAAAAUUUGAUAUCAUGCAUGUAAUUCAGGGCUUGGAAUGCUAACAGGCGAUUCAGCUGACUGAUCUUAGCUACGCGAAGUCAAAGUGUAGUUUGGUUUCGCACCCUUCGUUUUCCUGUAAGUAUAGGCGCAAGAAAGCCGCAAUAAGUAAGUAGUCAUAGCAGACUCUAAUGUCUUUUACUAAGCAGUGAAACAAAGCGUGCGUUUUCGUAUUUCGGAAGGGCCUGAGGAAAUAAGAGAUUUUUUUUAUCUAAGUGUUGAACAUAACAGACUUUACUAUGGACCACCUAGGACUGUUAAAGUGAAGAAUGUAAACGCUGCCUAAUUAUACUGGACAAAUCAGGAUUUUGAUGAUUUCGUAUGACAGUCAAAUCUAUAACCGUCGAGACUCAGAGAAAUCCUCUUAGUCUAAGGAUUUAUUCAAAUACGAGAACCAGCUUUACGAUGUCUAUCUGCCUCAAAAAGUCCGAUAACAUCAAAAAUAAAGAUGAUUGAAGUUAAAAGUUA